rnacentral:pre_miRNA from 1 species
AGAGUGCAUCCUUGGUCUUGGAUAGUACUUCCUUUGUCCCAAAAUAAGCGUAGCCAUGAGUUUUCUUGUCCAACUUUAAUUGUUCGUCUUAUUUAAUUUUUUUUUGAAAAAACUAAAAAACACAAGUCACGCAUAAACUACUAUUCAUGUUUUAUAAUCUAAUAACAAUAAAAAUACUAAUCAUACAAAAAUUUCAAAUAAGACGGAUGAUUAAAGUUGGACACGGAAACUCAUGGCUGCGUUUAUUUUGUGACGGAGAGAGUACUAUUGGAAAGAUCAGCUAGUUGGAAAAUGCCA